GUGGGAAAGGUCUCCAUGUGCUCAGAGUGGAAGAGAUGGGCCCAGGGUCUGCAGGGGCAGAGCCCGACACGCCCCACCAGGUCUACAAAGUAAGCCAAGAUGCCAUUCAAGGUGGGCAAAUGCCAGGUCAGAAAGCAUUUACGUAUCUGUGACUUUGUUCUUAAGGUCAUCUCUCUGCUGUGCGGAGAACAGAGGGCAGGUAAAAGCAAGGAGACCAGUCACGUCUCUGUGCAUGUCCAGCAGAGGGAGGGCAGACCUGGGGCUUGGGAUCCACCCUCAGGACCAAUGGUCACACUUCCUGCUCAAAGAAGAGGAGGAGAGAUGGGCGAGUAGGCAAGGCAACUUCCAGGAUUCCGGCUUGAGCCCCUGGCUGAGUGGUGACAGUGACAUGUACAGAAACAGGAAGAACCGGGGAGAGAAAGCACUGGGCUGGGACUGUUAAGUACUGGGUUUGAGCUACUUGAGAUAUUCAAGUCCGCAACCGAAGAUCGUACCUGGCCUUAGAGAAGUGUGUGACCAGAAGUCAUCAGAGCCAGGGGUGGAGGAGCCCACCGGUACGGGAGGGGACAAUCUGCAAAGGGGCCAUGAAGUCGGUGAGAGAGAGAGAGAGGCGGGGAGAGAGAGCCCUGUCACUAAGAGGAGAGGCGGCUGCGGAGGAGGAAGUGGCCGGCUUUGUUGAAAGCUUCUGCAAAGUAGAGAAAGAUAAGAAGAGAAAGUGGUAGAUUGAGAGGGGCCACCCAGAGGUUAGGGCUAGCGAGGCUGGAGGGGACAAUGGGGCAGAAGACGGGUGGCUGUGAGGGGAGGACGCACCACCUCCUUGCCCAGGCUGUGCCCCUCGGGUCCAGCUUCCCUGGCCCUCCCUAGCACCCUGCUCCUCAAAGCCGGAGUGCCACCUGGCCGGAUCUGCACCCCUCCCCAGCUCUGCCCCCACUCGUUCCUGGGUCCAUAGCUCCCCUUGACUGUGAGCUACUCAAGGGCAAGGACAGGUGCCGUCACUGUGCACCACAGCCGGGUUCCUGUAGAUGUGUGAUGUGUAACUAACACUCGAGUCACCUCAAGAGGACACCACAAGCAACACCAGCGCCCGUUGCUGUUCCAGGCCGUGGUCUGGGCGCAUCCAGCGUGCUGGAGGGCCACAAGGAGCGUCGCUCGGGCAGAGGAUCCUCGGUGGAGGACAGCGGGGUGUCCAGCACCGGGCAGGUUCCCACGCCCAGAGCCCUUCCAGCUGUCAGCCUGGAUGCUGGGUCCUCCUGCCCAACUCCUGGGCUCUCUCCUGGGCCUCCUGCACCCCUCCCCAGGACCUGAGGCCACACGGCCUGUACCCACAGCCCUGGUGAGCAACUUCCUGUUUGCCUACAGAGGAAGCUGCUCAGCAGGUUGGUGGCCAGGUGGCUUCCCAUACCCUGAGCCAGGAGGGGAAGCGGCCACCUUCUAAGAAGGAACCCUGGGUAUUUCAGCAGAGUCUGGCCCUCCUGGGAGGCAGAGGGGAGAGAGCAGAGGGCAGCAGAGGAAGGGACAUGGGCACUUGACUCACACCGCCCUUUCCUGAGGCCCUGCGUGCUGACCGACAGGCCCUCCACAGCACCUGACCAGACUCUAGGGGUGUGUGGGGGAGGGGUGUCUGAACCUACACCACAGACAGGGGAGGAGACGAAAGGUCACAGCUGUCACUCACGCUCACAGGCAGUCGGUGGAGAAGCCUGGAUGUAAACCAGGGAGCUGACCCCAGCAAGCACACCCUCCGCUCUUCCCUGGCCACCCACGUGCCUCAGGGGGGUGAGCCAAGGCCGCCCUCCUCUUAAGCCAGCAGAGAUGCUAGGGUGGGGUGAAGCCAUUCCUCUCAACUCGGGCUUACUGUAGCGCUCAAGCUGAUGGAAUACUGUCCUUCUGGGGGGACCAGCCACCUGGCAGGGUGAGAAGGAGGCCUGGAGCAACUCAGAGGUUCCAGGACCCCUGAAUUUGACACUGUGAACGUUUGUCCCCUUGGGGAAGCCUGGGGGUAAGGCAGCCAGGGGCUUCUCUCUUCAGCUCUGCGCCUCUGCCAGGCCAGGCCCCAGCAAGGCCAGACAGGACGCCUGCGCUCCCUCUGCUGAGUUAGACACUUAUCCCCCAUGGGCCUCUGAGGGUGGACCCCAUGGCCAGAGCAGGGAGCUGGAGGUAGGCCUGAGGGGACAAAGGCGCCCCCUCUGGAGGGGAGGUCUUUCAAGGCAGGAGCAGGAGGACAGGGAACAGUCCAGGGGUAAGUCACUGCCCACUUCCCAGCACGAGCCUCUACUACUGUGUCUGCCACUCAACCAGAAGACCCUCUGUGUCUGCAGACAGAGCCUGGACACAGCACCAGGCUCUCACUGCCCCAGCAUGAAGGUUUGCCUGGCCUCCCCUCUGGGCCUCCCCUCUGGGCCUCCCCUCCCGGCCUUUCCCAACACUGUGAGUUUUAAAGAUGGGCACUUGCCAGGCAGCCUCUAGUUGUGGAUCUGCCCUCUCAGGGUUGGGCUCUAGUUAGCUCUCCAUCUCCCAGUCCCCUGGCACCAGAAGUCAUCCACAGAACAGCUCCUGAAACACACGUGUGCGUCAUUACUUACAGUGACAAAAAUGCUCAGCCUUCAAUAUCCACAACAGCGAAUCAGAUAAAUGGUUGGGGGUGGGGGGGCGGCUGUCACAUGGCCACAUGCAGACCCAGGCACCCUCUAGCAACCUCGUUUUUGAGGAGUAUUUAGUGAAGUGGAAAGAUGCUUAUAGCAUAUUAAGUAAUAAAACUAUUUAUAUAUUCAUAUUAUCUCUACUUUUAAAACCUUGUUUAUUUAGGCAAUAAAACAGGAAAACAGCAAUUGAUAAUCUGCAUGGGAACCGAAUACAAAGUUUUCAUUUCUCUAUGGAAAUUUUGCUUGGAAUGUACCUAAUUUGGAAAAAUAAGGCGGCUGGCAGACCCUUUCCAAACCUGUCUCCCCAUUGCUAGUGGAGGCUGAGACACAGGGGUCCAGAGGGUCUGCACAGGUUCUCGCUAAGUUGCCCAGAAUGGCCUUGAACUUGCGGUCCUGCUGCUCAGCCUCCAGGUAGCACCGGCAGUAUUUGCUCUACUUGACCUAAAGCAUCACUGUCUCUCAAGUGGCUGCCAUGGUGACCUGUCAGAUGUAGGUGUGGGAAUCAACUUGGAAGCCCAGAGUUGGCACAAAAACCACCUAAAGGUGAAGACAUUUGAGAUUUGACAGCGACAGAAAGGGUUCUCCUGGAGCUUCUCUUCACGACUCCAAGCAGCAACGUCUGGGGAACAGGCUGCCCUAAAAUCCUUGUCAGGAGUAGCUGUUCCCAGAAGGGAGAAGAGAAGUGAAGGCCACCCCAGACCCUUCCCUGUGACGGCUUUGUAGCCCUGAAGGCCAUGGUGAGAUCAUGUCUGCACAAACGUUGCCCAUAACUUUGUCUCUCAUCUGUUCUCCUAAAAACCCAUCCCGUUUUCCUACGGAAACCUAUUUGUCUUCCCACAGAAGGCUUUUCUGCCCCUAUUAAUGUGUCUUUUGUCAGUUAAUUCACAGGUCCCAGCUACUAAGUCUAAGAGGGUAGAGGAGAGGGGGUUUCCCCCUGCCCAGGGUGGGGAGGAGGAAGCCCUGCCCCAGCGCCCCCUCCACAGAGGGAAAGCUCUGUCUGUCUGUCUGUCUGUCUGGGGGGUAACAUGCGCACUGCACAGGUGCUGUACUUAACAACGUGAACCGGGCAAAAU